rnacentral:rRNA from 1 species
AGAGUUUGAUCCUGGCUCAGAACGAACGCUGGCGGCGUGGAUAAGACAUGCAAGUCGAACGAGAGAAUUGCUAGCUUGCUAAUAAUUCUCUAGUGGCGCACGGGUGAGUAACACGUGAGUAACCUGCCCCCGAGAGCGGGAUAGCCCUGGGAAACUGGGAUUAAUACCGCAUAGUAUCGAAAGAUUAAAGCAGCAAUGCGCUUGGGGAUGGGCUCGCGGCCUAUUAGUUAGUUGGUGAGGUAACGGCUCACCAAGGCGAUGACGGGUAGCCGGUCUGAGAGGAUGUCCGGCCACACUGGAACUGAGACACGGUCCAGACACCUACGGGUGGCAGCAGUCGAGAAUCAUUCACAAUGGGGGAAACCCUGAUGGUGCGACGCCGCGUGGGGGAAUGAAGGUCUUCGGAUUGUAAACCCCUGUCAUGUGGGAGCAAAUUAAAAAGAUAGUACCACAAGAGGAAGAGACGGCUAACUCUGUGCCAGCAGCCGCGGUAAUACAGAGGUCUCAAGCGUUGUUCGGAAUCACUGGGCGUAAAGCGUGCGUAGGCUGUUUCGUAAGUCGUGUGUGAAAGGCGCGGGCUCAACCCGCGGACGGCACAUGAUACUGCGAGACUAGAGUAAUGGAGGGGGAACCGGAAUUCUCGGUGUAGCAGUGAAAUGCGUAGAUAUCGAGAGGAACACUCGUGGCGAAGGCGGGUUCCUGGACAUUAACUGACGCUGAGGCACGAAGGCCAGGGGAGCGAAAGGGAUUAGAUACCCCUGUAGUCCUGGCAGUAAACGGUGCACGCUUGGUGUGCGGGGAAUCGACCCCCUGCGUGCCGGAGCUAACGCGUUAAGCGUGCCGCCUGGGGAGUACGGUCGCAAGAUUAAAACUCAAAGAAAUUGACGGGGACCCGCACAAGCGGUGGAGUAUGUGGCUUAAUUCGAUGCAACGCGAAGAACCUUACCUGGGCUUGACAUGUAAUGAACAACAUGUGAGAGCAUGCGACUCUUCGGAGGCGUUACACAGGUGCUGCAUGGCCGUCGUCAGCUCGUGUCGUGAGAUGUUUGGUUAAGUCCAGCAACGAGCGCAACCCCUGUUGCCAGUUACCAGCACGUGAAGGUGGGGACUCUGGCGAGACUGCCCAGAUCAACUGGGAGGAAGGUGGGGACGACGUCAGGUCAGUAUGGCCCUUAUGCCCAGGGCUGCACACGUACUACAAUGCCCAGUACAGAGGGGGCCGAAGCCGCGAGGCGGAGGAAAUCCUAAAAACUGGGCCCAGUUCGGACUGUAGGCUGCAACCCGCCUACACGAAGCCGGAAUCGCUAGUAAUGGCGCAUCAGCUACGGCGCCGUGAAUACGUUCCCGGGUCUUGCACUCACCGCCCGUCA